GAAGGCAUUCUGCACCCUUAUUGGGGCAUUGGCCAGCCUAUUCUCCGGAUUUCAUCCCCAAUCUAACGGCCAGUCGGAGCGAGCUAACCAGGACCUGGAGACCACCCUAAGAUGCCUGGUCUCAACCAACCUGGAGCCGACAACUGUUCUGGGUGGAGUAUGCCUGGAACACCCUUCCCUGUUCAGCCACGGGACUCUCCCCUUUUGAGGCAAACUGUCUCCCGUUCCAUUUGUCCUUUUUCCAUCUAGAGUCCUUAGUUCCACUGCUGUCUGUUUUUUGUUACCCCGUACCCUCCGUAUUCACCCUACUUUCCACGUGUCUAGGAUUAAGCCUGUGUCUCACAGUCCUUUGUCUUCUGUCUCCAGGCCCACUCCCCAUCCCCAUGCCAUUGAUGGCCAUCCAGCCUACACGGUAAAACGCCUCCUGGAUGUUCGACCACGGGGCAGGGGUUUCCAGUACCUGGUUGACUGGGAGGGUUAAGGACCGGAUGAGAGGUGCUCGGUUCCCGCUAGAGACAUCCCGGAUACAGCCCUCAUCACCGACUUCCACCACCGACACCCCGGUCAACCAGGAAUGUGCCCAGUCUCUUUUGGUUCUAGUCCUCCUGGUUUCGACCCUUGCCUGUCCUGACUCUGAACCCGCCUGCCUGACCACUCUGCCUGUUCUGUCUUCAAACCUGUCUAUCCCCUUGUACUGUUUGGACUCAAAUCUGGUUACUGAACCUCUGCCUGGCUUGACCUCGAGACUGCCCUUCGUCUGGUACUGUUUUGGACUCUGACCCGGUUUAUGAACUCUCGCCUGUCCCCGACUUACCUUUUGCCUACCCCUUGGAUUAAUAAAUAUCAGUGCUCAACCAUCUA